AUUGAACGCUGGCGGCAGGCCUAACACAUGCAAGUCGAGCGAGCGGCGGACGGGUGAGUAAUGUCUGGGCAACUGCCUGAUGGAGGGGGAUAACUACUGGAAACGGUAGCUAAUACCGCAUACCAUCGGAUGUGCCCAGAUGGGAUUAGCUUGUAGGUGAGGUAACGGCUCACCUAGGCGACGAUCCCUAGCUGGUCUGAGAGGAUGACCAGCAACCCUGGAACGGAGCAACGGUCCAGACUCCUACGGGAGGCAGCAGUGGGGAAUAUUGCACAAUGGGCGCAAGCCUGAUGCAGCCAUGCCGCGUGUAUGAAGAAGGCUUUCGGGUUGUAAAGUACUUUCAGCGGGGAGGCGUUACCCGCAGAAGAAGCACCGGCUAACUCCGUGCCAGCAGCCGCGGUAAUUC
rnacentral:rRNA from 1 species